rnacentral:rRNA from 1 species
AACUCAAAUGAAUUGACGGGGGCCCGCACAAGCGGUGGAGCAUGUGGUUUAAUUCGAUGCAACGCGAAGAACCUUACCUACUCUUGACAUCCAGAGAAGCCAGCGGAGACGCAGGUGUGCCUUCGGGAGCUCUGAGACAGGUGCUGCAUGGCUGUCGUCAGCUCGUGUUGUGAAAUGUUGGGUUAAGUCCCGCAACGAGCGCAACCCUUAUCCUUGUUUGCCAGCGAGUAAUGUCGGGAACUCCAGGGAGACUGCCGGUGAUAAACCGGAGGAAGGUGGGGACGACGUCAAGUCAUCAUGGCCCUUACGAGUAGGGCUACACACGUGCUACAAUGGCGCAUACAGAGGGCAGCCAACUUGCGAAAGUGAGCGAAUCCCAAAAAGUGCGUCGUAGUCCGGAUUGGAGUCUGCAACUCGACUCCAUGAAGUCGGAAUCGCUAGUAAUCGUAGAUCAGAAUGCUACGGUGAAUACGUUCCCGGGCCUUGUACACACCGCCCGUCACACCAUGGGAGUGGGCUGCAAAAGAAGUGGGUAGUU